rnacentral:rRNA from 1 species
CACGUAGGGCGCGAGCGUUGUCCGGAAUUAUUGGGCGUAAAGAGCUCGUAGGCGGCCUGUUGCGUCCGCUGUGAAAGCCCGGGGCUUAACCCCGGGUCUGCAGUGGAUACGGGCAGGCUAGAGGUAGGUAGGGGAGAAUGGAAUUCCCGGUGUAGCGGUGAAAUGCGCAGAUAUCGGGAGGAACACCGGUGGCGAAGGCGGUGCUCUGGGCCUUACCUGACGCUGAGGAGCGAAAGCGUGGGGAGCGAACAGG